rnacentral:rRNA from 1 species
GAGUGGCGAACUGGUGAGUAACACGUGGGAAACCUGCCCAGAAGCGGGGGAUAACACCUGGAAACAGAUGCUAAUACCGCAUAACAACUUGGACCGCAUGGUCCGAGUUUGAAAGAUGGCUUCGGCUAUCACUUUUGGAUGGUCCCGCGGCGUAUUAGCUAGAUGGUGGGGUAACGGCUCACCAUGGCAAUGAUACGUAGCCGACCUGAGAGGGUAAUCGGCCACAUUGGGACUGAGACACGGCCCAAACUCCUACGGGAGGCAGCAGUAGGGAAUCUUCCACAAUGGACGAAAGUCUGAUGGAGCAACGCCGCGUGAGUGAAGAAGGGUUUCGGCUCGUAAAACUCUGUUGUUAAAGAAGAACAUAUCUGAGAGUAACUGUUCAGGUAUUGACGGUAUUUAACCAGAAAGCCACGGCUAACUACGUGCCAGCAGCCGCGGUAAUACGUAGGUGGCAAGCGUUGUCCGGAUUUAUUGGGCGUAAAGCGAGCGCAGGCGGUUUUUUAAGUCUGAUGUGAAAGCCUUCGGCUCAACCGAAGAAGUGCAUCGGAAACUGGGAAACUUGAGUGCAGAAGAGGACAGUGGAACUCCAUGUGUAGCGGUGAAAUGCGUAGAUAUAUGGAAGAACACCAGUGGCGAAGGCGGCUGUCUGGUCUGUAACUGACGCUGAGGCUCGAAAGUAUGGGUAGCAAACAGGAUUAGAUACCCUGGUAGUCCAUACCCUAAACGAUGAAUGCUAAGUGUUGGAGGGUUUCCGCCCUUCAGUGCUGCAGCUAACGCAUUAAGCAUUCCGCGUGGGGAGUACGGCCGCAAGGAUGAAACUCAAAGGAAUUGACGGGGGCCCGCACAAGCGGUGGAGCAUGUGGUUUAAUUCGAAGCUACGCGAAGAACCUUACCAGGUCUUGACAUACUAUGCAAAUCUAAGAGAUUAGACGUUCCCUUCGGGGACAUGGAUACAGGUGGUGCAUGGUUGUCGUCAGCUCGUGUCGUGAGAUGUUGGGUUAAGUCCCGCAACGAGCGCAACCCUUAUUAUCAGUUGCCAGCAUUAAGUUGGGCACUCUGGUGAGACUGCCGGUGACAAACCGGAGGAAGGUGGGGAUGACGUCAAAUCAUCAUGCCCCUUAUGACCUGGGCUACACACGUGCUACAAUGGAUGGUACAACGAGUUGCGAACUCGCGAGAGUAAGCUAAUCUCUUAAAGCCAUUCUCAGUUCGGAUUGUAGGCUGCAACUCGCCUACAUGAAGUCGGAAUCGCUAGUAAUCGCGGAUCAGCAUGCCGCGGUGAAUACGUUCCCGGGCCUUGUACACACCGCCCGUCACACCAUGAGAGUUUGUAACACCCAAAGUCGGUG